UAACGAAUCUUCCGCAAUGGGCGAAAGCCUGACGGAGCAAUGCCGCGUGUGGGAUGAAGCGCCUUCGGCGUGUAAACCACUGUCAGGGAAUGGAACCAAUGAUUAUUCCCAAAGGAAGUGGCGACUAACUCUGUGCCAGCAGUCGCGGUAAUACAGAGGCCACAAGCGUUAGUCGGAAUCACUGGGCUUAAAGGGUGCGUAGGCGGGCCCGCAAGCGUCUUGUGAAAUCCCAUGGCUCAACCAUGGAAUUGCAGGGCGAACUGCGGGUCUUGAGGCAGGUAGGGGCCGGAAGAACAGUAGGUGGAGCGGUGAAAUGCGUAGAUAUCUACUGGAAUGCCGAUGGGGAAGCCGUCCGGCUGGGCCUGUCCUGACGCUGAGGCACGAAAGCGUGGGGAGCAAACAGGAUUAGAUACCCCUGUAGUCCCUGAGCGGGCUGGCAAGGCGCAU
rnacentral:rRNA from 1 species